AAGGUUUUCGGAUCGUAAAGCUCUGUUGUCAGGGAAGAACAAGUACCAAAGUAACUGUUGGUACCUUGACGGUACCUGACCAGAAAGCCACGGCUAACUACGUGCCAGCAGCCGCGGUAAUACGUAGGUGGCAAGCGUUGUCCGGAAUUAUUGGGCGUAAAGCGCGCGCAGGCGGCUUCUUAAGUCUGAUGUGAAAGCCCACGGCUCAACCGUGGAGGGUCAUUGGAAACUGGGAGGCUUGAGUGCAGAANAGGAGAGCGGAAUUCCACGUGUAGCGGUGAAAUGCGUAGAGAUGUGGAGGAACACCAGUGGCGAANGCGGCUCUCUGGUCUGUAACUGACGCUGAGGCGCGAAAGCGUGGGGAGCGAACAGGAUUAGAUACCCUGGUAGUCCACGCCGUAAACGAUGA
rnacentral:rRNA from 1 species